rnacentral:lncRNA from 1 species
UCCUUCCAGCCCCCGGCAGCUGCUGGAGGAGGCGGACGCAGCGCAGCCUCCGCCGCAGAAGCAGUGACUGUCCGGAAAGGGGCUGGAGGCUGGACUGCUCCUGGAGGCUGGACCACGCACUAGCAUCCUCAGGGCUCCCAGGUCCGGAGCUCCUAGGUCUGGCGGCGCUCGCCCACAGCAGCUGGACGCUAGAUCUCUCCGGGGCGGCCCCUCCGGGGUGGCCGCGGCCUCGGCUCAGCCCCUCCCUCUUCCCUUGCUUCUUCUCCUCGCCCUCCUCCUCGCUCCCUCACCACGUAGGAGUUCCCAUUCUCCACCCAAGCCGUCCUGCUUUUCCCCUUUCCUUCCUUUUGGAAACCAGAGACUCGGAAGGAGGCGACCAGGCUGCGGAGGAGAGGGCCGGCUCGCAAAGUGCUGCUUUGACACAUCCUUAGGAUGGAAGUUAAGUGAAAACAGAACAACAC